AUCUUUGUUUUUGAUAUAAAUAAACAAUUCCAUACAUAUGUGUUAAUUACCCAGAAAAUAAUUAAGUGCUGAUUUCCCAGCAAUGUAUCGAAAUUAGCUACAUGAAUACUUCAAGGAUUUCUAUAGGUUAUUUUUCUAACUUCAUCAGUAAUGUAGUAAUUUAAUCUGCGUACAUGUCAACAAUGCGACUAGAAUAGGAAAAAAUUUCUGUUAGUUAAUUAAACUGAGCUUUAGAAAAUGAGUUCCUCGAAAUGAUUUCAAAUUAAUUGGGAAAUUAUUCAGACCAAAGUAAUUUAGCAAAGUUGGGCCUGGUUUUGUACUAGGAAUUACAAAAUGACAGCUUUAUCUUCUGGCACAGCUCUCACUAACACUAAUGAUAAUUAAGAAAGGAAAACAUUAUUAUAAUGAGGCAAAUAACAAAACAAAAUGGGAAUGUGUACCACCCUAUUCUACUACACCUGACGGGCCACCAACACUCGCUGCCCUAUCUUCCCUCCUUCAAAAACUACCCCCUCCCUUCCUCGUAUUCAGUGAUUUUAACACCCACCACUCCUUGUAGGGCAGGCAGUGCUUCUUCAUCUAUUCAUGGUACCUCAUAGACAAGUUUCUUGCAGACCCUACCCAUUUAAGUGCUGCUUAUGACAUUUUCUAUGUCGCACACCUUUCGCUUACUUCUGCUGCCCUUUUCCCUUCAUAACACCGGUUGUUGCAGUGACAUCUGAGAUAGUAUUGAUUUCCCAUUGAUUCUCCCUUUCCCUUCCUGCCUCCAGAUGGCCAGGUUACCUUGCUGCGCUUUCCAUCACACUGAUUGGCCUCUGUAUACCUCCCUGUUCCUGUUUACUCCAUCUUUGUCAGGUUUUGUUGAUGAAAUCUUCCUGUACACGAUUCAACGGAAUUAUUCGCACCACCGGCAUUGCCGAUCUCCGUUCAGUUGGUGUCUUUCACUGCUGCCCAGUCCUUUGGUGGAGCGCAGCCAUAGCCAUCUGUGAUCACCAUCGGGCCUUCCAAUGUCUUCAGUGCACCUGUCCCUAUCAGUCUUACUACAUUUAAAUGUCUUUGCACUAAAGCCCUUCACUUAAACAGAGCAAGCAAGUGUGUUGGGAAUACUUUUCCUCCCUAUCUCCCGUAGUCCCUUCAUCACGGGUGUGGGCUAUUUUCUGCACCCUCCAAGGUUGCUAGCGGCGGUCUUCCAUCCCUGGCCUUGCCCUUUUGGAUGCCCUUUGUAUGUAUCCAUUGGUUCUCACAGAACACCUUGCGACCCAUUUUGUGACAGAAUUGGCAGCAGCCUCCUAUAAAGCUGCCGCUGUCUUUCGGAAACAGUGGUGUCAAACUUCCCAUGUAUGUUUACCCCUUGUCCGUCAUAAUCGUACAGAAAACCUUUUACUGUAUGGAAACUUCUGGCCUUCUACUCUUCCCAUGAUUUGGACCCAGGCCCUGAUUCUGUUUAUAACCAAUUACUACUAUACCUCAGUCCUCCACAAUGACAAUAUCUCGUCAGAGUUUUUAACCAGAUUUGGCUCCAAGGCUUUCUUUCCCUUCUCAGUGGAGGUACAGCAUUGUGGUUAAGCCUGGUAAGGAUAUGUCGUCUUUUGAUAGUUACUGGUGCAUCAGUCUGAGUGUUGUCCCCCGUGAGUUAUUUAUAUAGAUGGUGGACCGUCAGCUCAGUUGGGUCUUUGAAUCUCUGUACCUUUUGUCUUGUUGCUAGUGCGCCUUUGAGGGGUGAUGGCACCCAACAAUUAUUUGCUUCAAUUGGAAACCACAUUUUGGCAGACCUUUUCUCAGUGCUAUCAUCUUGUCUGUUUUCUGUCGUAAGGCCUACAUCACUGCUUGGCAUCAUCACAUCUCUUCCAUUCCUGGAAAGAGGCUUUCAGGUCCCACUCCGAAGGUUAUUUGCGAGUUCAUGUCCCACCGGUCAUUCAGAGUGACAGUUGGCGACAUUCUAGACUGACCAUUGAUCCAGGAUAAUUGCAUUCUGAGGAGUCCAUAUUAAGUGUCCUCUUUAUUUCUCAUUGCUAUUAAUGGAUUUAAUGGCCUCUGCUGGACUGUUAGUCACCCCUGCUCUGUGUGUGUAUGAUUCUGUAUUUAGGUUAGUUCCUACUCUGUGGCCUCAACGAAGCAACAGCUAGAGGUUGCCAUCUUUCACACUUCUGUUUUUACACUCUCAGUGGUUUUUCAUGUGGAACUGAUGGCCAACGCUCACCCAAGUUUUGUUAUGUAUGUAUUCGAUGAGUAGCCUUCAGGCUAUUGCCUGCCCAGUGUUUUUCUCGCCACCCUUUGGUCUCUACCAACCAUGACCGUCUCGCUGAUCUUGACCAUCCUGCUUUCCUUUAGGUUCCCAGUCACAUGAGUUUCCUGGCUAAUGAGCUUGCUGAUCAUGUGGCCAGGAGGGUUGGGGAGGGCACUCAACAACCCCCUCCCCAGAGCAAGUGAUAACUGCAAUAGGGAAGCCGAAUAGUCAACUAUUGUUUAUUGGGAGAAUUUUAGGAGACCACAUGAGGGAUGCUGGUGCGACCUUGAGUACUGCUAGUGUGUUUGGGAUGCAUACCAGAUCGGAUCGAAUGAAGAUUUCGAAGCAAUUCAGAGAGAUUUCGAAGCAGUUCAGAGGCAGGCUGCUAUAUUUGUUACCGGUAGGUUCAAAUAACGUGUAAGUGUUACGGAGAUGCUUCAGGAAUUCAAAUGGGAAUCACUGGAGGGAAGGUGACAUUCUUUUGAGAAACUUUAUUGAAAAAAUGUAGAGAACCAGCAUUUGAGGUUUAGUGCAGAACAGUUCUAUUGCCGUCAACAUACAUGGCACGUAAGGACCAAGAAGAUAAAGACUUGAGAAAUUAGGGCUCAUAACGAGGCACGUAGACACUUGCUUAUUCCCCACACUCUAUUUGCAGGUGGAACAGCUGCUUGUGGAGUAUCAAUGUUAGGUGUAGAACAGUGACAAGAAUGGAUCCAGAAGGUAAAGGGAUGGGGAUUGUGGAGAGUCAUUGAAGGGAGUGGUUGGUGUCUCCUUUACAUGCAGGGCUAGAUUUUGGUCAGUUUUUGGAGGUGUUGGCUUAGAGCUGAAAUUCUUUCAGUUGAGGCACAAUAAUAAGCUACAACAGGGUGUCUAAGAUUGUUGGGUUUGUGAUUUUGAGGAACAUGUAGUCUGUGGGUGUGCAGGAUGAAAAGGGAAAAGGAUUCAGGGAAGACAGUCUGGGAAGGGGGUGUAAGGCUUCAAGCAGGGAUUGGAGGUUUGUUGGGCUUUUUGGAUGGGAUCAUUUUGGCAUAGUUUUUGCUAUUGAUAUGACUACCAACCAGUUGUCCAAAUUUUAGCCAAGAGCAAAGUGAACCAUCAUGUAGCACAAUAUGCGGCUGAACAUAACCUGAUUGAUUUCAGCGUCUGCUUCACAACCCAGUCCAUCUGGAUCCACCACCAGCUUUUGUGAACUGCACCGAUGGGAGUUAUACUUUCAAUACAUUCUCCACUCCCAUAAUUCUGCUGGCCUCAAUUUCAGGUGCCCUUUGUCCCCACACUCUUCUAUCAACAGUUUCUGUCCCCUCUGUCUUUAUCACAUUCACCCAAUUCACAUCCCCUCACCCUUAUUGUGUGCUUAUCUCAGCUAAUGCCCCAUUGAUCUUCUCCCCUUCUCUUCACCUUCCCGUGUCCAGUCCCCACUGCCCUCCCACCCUAUUCCCCCUCCCACACCACCACCACCACCACCACCACCACCACCACCACCACUACCACCACUGCCGCCACCUCCUGACGCUACCUGGCAGCCUUUUCCUGCUAUCAUGUAGUCCUUGUAUGUUUUCCCAGAAAGUGCUCCUCCCCACCCCCACCCAUACUCGUCUUCUUUUUACACACCCCCUCCCCCAACUCCGGAUUGGUGCUUUUGUUCAACACAAGAAUUGCACUAUAGCUGCAGAUUCCGGAUGUAGCAGACGUGUGUACAUGACAUGUUCCUGUGUGUGUGAAUGUCAGAGUUUCUUUUUUGAAAAAGGCUUUGCCUGAAAGCUUAAUGAGUAAUAGUCUUUCCAUUAUACCUGUCUGUACCUCAGUAUGUUGUCUUUACAGUGAGUAGCAAUGUAUCCUUUUCAUAAUAUUAGUGAUAUUCCAACCUGGACUGUCCAUUGUUUAAAGUAAAACUUUAUUGUAAUAUAUAAUAUAUUAUUAUCAUGAUAAUUCACACUUUACACUUGUAUUCUUAUCCAUAAUUUAUUUCUAACAGGAAGCAGCUUUUUUUCCCUGCAGAGUCAUAUCAUAUUAAACUCAGUCUGGUUAAUUUACAGAACUAGUUUGUUGUGCUCUCCUGAUUACAGUUAGUACACUCAGCUGAGCAGACAUUCUUAGCAGUGAGUUGGAAAAUGCUGUGAUAGCAGUAUAAAAAAAAAGAUGCGAUAAGAAGAAAGCAAAGAAAUUUGAUCAUUUGUUAUAGAGUGUGGCCAGACUGCUGCUUGUUGGAAACUGCAACAUGAUAACAUGCCAUGUCACAGUAUGCUGCGGAUGUUGGAACACGUGGGCAAGCACAGGGUUGCCACAUUGCCUCACCCUCCGUAGUCCAGGUCUGACUUCUUCCUCUCCAACGGAACCUCAGUGGAUACCAAUUCGGCUCCGUAGAAGGUGUCCAAAAUGCUGUGACAGUGUCCCUAAAGAGGAUCAUCGAAAGCAAGUUCCAGAAGGCAUACAUGCAGUGGGAAUCGCGUCACAUGCUUUGUCGAAGUACAAAGGUGCUACUUCGAGGAAUUCUAAAGAUUAGUACCAGGUAAUUCAGUAAAAAAAAUUUAAAUUAAUUCAGUUCUGCUUCUUACUGAUAAACCCUGUAUUUAUUUUGUAAAAGAAAUAAACUGAUAGAAAAACUUGCAUCCUGUUCCAAUCCA